UACGGGGGGGGCAAGCGUUGUUCGGAAUUACUGGGCGUAAAGGGCCAGUAGGCGGCCAACUAAGUCGGAUGUGAAAUCCCCAGGCUUAACCUGAGAACUGCAUCCGAUACUGGAUGGCUUGAAUUCGGGAGAGGGAUGCAGAAUUCCAGGUGUAGCGGUGAAAUGCGUAGAUAUCGGGAGGAACACCGGUGGCGAAGGCGGCCUUCUGGACGGAUACUGAUCGA
rnacentral:rRNA from 1 species